GCCGAUUCCCGGAAGCCGCUCCCGCCGCCGCCGCUCCCGCAGGAAACAGAAACUGGGCACGGCGGGAGCGGGCCGUGAGGGGAGGCGAGGGGCCGGCAACGCGUGCGGGCCGGUGUCCAUCCCCAGGGGCUCCCUGCCUCCUGCUUGCAGGCACGAUGGCCUGUUCCAGCUGCUGGAGGGAAGCAGCAGUGCGGGCAGGGGCUGGAGCUGGGAAGCUUGGCACCUUUUCCUAUCAGUCCAGGAUGGAGCGAACUGCCCGAGCCAGGAGCCAGAUGAGAGGCACAGCCAGCCUUGCCCACCACGUGCUGCUUGACUCCUGCUCUGCAGAUGGUUAGCUGGGCAGGAGGUCCAAUCCCACUCUCGGAUACUCUAAGGGCAAAUAAAAGAACUUGAAGACACAACUCACCUUUUCUUCUAUUGAUCUCAGCCCUAGCUUCACUGGCAGGACUCCAGCAGUCUCAAGUGCACGGAUUCCCAUUUGCCUUGGGGGGUUUCUGGCCAGGAUGCCAGGACCCCUGGACACCCCGGGUCAGCACAGCCCCGUGCCUGUCCCACUCCUGCUCCGCUGUGCCCUGGGUGAAGACCCAUGAGCACCAGGAGAGGUCCGAGUCUCUCUGGCCUUUUUCAGGGAGCUCAGGCUGCUGCAGGUCUGCACCCUUGUCAGGCAAAACUGUCAGGGCUACCAUGUGCCUGCAGCUCACAGGAAUUCCCUCAGCAGAUAGUUCAUGACAUGUCUGUGUCUUCCUUCAAGGUGGAGAGGAAAGUAAGGAGCAUGGAAAGUCCAAGGCCACAAGUAAAGUUUUUGCAAUUUCCUUUAUUCCUACCGAAACAAGCACAGAAUCUCUUUUUGGUUUAAUUUUAAAAAUUUGCUGUGCUAUCACUGGGAAGAACUGGAAUGAUUUUGAGUCUUGAGAUAGGUCUUUCCAAUUCCAGGAAACAGUAAACGGCCCAUCCCAGGAUAUAUUUAUUGUAGCCUGCAGAUCAGAGCACUUGCUGGGAUUACAUCAUGCCAGCUGGGCAGAGUUUCAACAUUUCUGACAUUCAUUCUCCUGCAUGUGCUUCAACCAAAGUUCCUUUCUGUAAAAUAGGCAUUUAUAAGAAAUGGAAACAGCUUGCAGCAAGACCUGAACCCUCACAGCUUCUGACCCAGAAGCAGAUAGUUUUGGUUGUCUGUCUUGGCAGCUUUUAAGGCUGAUUCUCCAACC